AUCACUCCCAGUCAAACGGACUCAUCGAGAGAAUGCACCGGACCCUGAAGACCGUGCUGUCCCAAAUGUGCAAGGGUUACCCUUUAAGGUGGCCUGCCCUUCUCAGUGAAUGUCAGUCACACAUGAAUCUGGCAGUACAUAGCAGCACGGGGGUCUCUCCAUAUGUAGCAUUCUUCGCAAGACAGCCACCUCGUUUCGUCACGGCGCCUCUCCUGACGGUGCAGUCUGAAGAUAGUGACGUUCAGCAACUUAAGCGCAUGAUUAAAGACGCUAGUGUGACGUCACAGAGGAGGUACCGUGCAGUGGCGAACAGAAAACGACGUGAUGAAAAGGUCUCAGUUGGGUCCUUGGUGUGGGUGAAAUCAGAAACUCCGUUGCCUGGUACCUCUACCAAAUUGAAUGCUAAGUGGAAAGGACCAUAUCGAGUGAGUGAGGUAAUCAGGGACGGUCAACUGUAUGUAGUGGAGGACCCCUAUUCUGGGAAGUUAGUACAAAGAGCAGCAGAAAAGGUGAAACCGUAUGUGAGCCGGAGUGAAAUUAUUCCAGAGUUGGAGGAGAACUAUUCAGACGGAUGUGUUGAGGAGGAGGAGGAGGAGGAUCAAGACCUCCCUCCCCGCCGCCGUCGACCUCCCAGACGUCUUAUUGAGGAGUGCUAAGGUGAUGCACGAACUCAGGAGUGAGGAGAAGUGAACAGUGUUAUAAUGUAUAGGAUGUGAGGGUUAGGAAUGAAGUGAGUUAAGAGCAGGAAAUCCUCAUCCGUCACAAGUGUUCGAAGGUCAGUGACACUGUCUCAGCCACAAAUAGAGUGGGGCAUUUCGGGAAAGUCGUCCCCAAAUUCUCGUCGUGUCAAAACAGUUCAUACCAGAUGGUAGCUUAUGUGUUUCAGUUCGGGGAAGUGUACCCCAUUCUUGUGGGCUUUAGUUCGAGAAGUGAGGUUUCCAGGGAACGUCGUACUUGGUUACUUCCUCCUCAAGUUACAGUCAUCACCUCUAACGGGUCCUAAGUUUCCCUUGAGGACGUAUUACCCCAGUCUUCGUUGUAGUAAGAGGAAUGAUUUGUGUGAAUGUUGGCGAAUGUGUCGAAUGCUGCGAAUGUAAUAGAUUAUUCCUUUUCUAUGAGACGGGGAAUAAAGAGAGUGACGGAGUUAGUCAGGUGACUUCUCCAUAGAUUACCCGUAGAGCAGAGGGUGACUGGGGUCCAAGUUCUCUUUUCCUGUAAGUAUUCUGUAUGUGAAAGGUGUUGGUACAAUUUCCUACGGGAAGAAAUGUACGAGUCAGGUGACUCAAGGGUAAAUGGUUGAGUCAGUGUCAGCUGUUUAGUAGACCUUAUGUAUGGAUAGGAUAGGGAAAGUGUAUAGGUAGGAUUUUGCAUGUAUUCUUCACCGUGAGUUUAACUCUGGGAGAAUGGGCGUGUGUAACGCUCCUUUUUAUUAUUUCUGUGUUUCUUUGAGUCUCCCCAAUAAUUGUUUUUUUUUGUAGUUUGCGGUGAAGAGGAGGAUAAUAGCGGUAAUUAAAGGUUUAGUGAUUAUAUGAAAAAAAUAUAUUUAUAAGGCGUGUAUUCGUGGGAGUGAUUUAAAAGUCUUGAAACAUUUGUUAUAAAUAAUCUUUACUUAUUUCAACUGUGGUUUUCUCUAAUCAGUGGUAAUACGAAUAAUAGGAUUACAUCAUGUUGCGUCAGCCUACCAGUAACUCAUAAGGUGUCAUUCCCUAGCUUAUAAAAUAUGUUAGUAAUUUAGAAUUCAAUUAUUAACUUCAACUAAUGUCCAGCUUAUAUGCUCACCUUGCUAGCCAAUUAUUCCUGCAUUUUUAUUUAAACUCACGGUUCAGUAAAAUUAUUUGUGAAAGAAGAGAGAGAGAGAACUAGCUAAGGUUCCAAUAACUUAAGAGGCCUGGGGGUGUUGAGGGAGAGAGCAUAGAAUGGCGUCUCCCUUCCCUCUGGCAAGAGAAUGGCGUCUCCCUUCCCUCUGGCAAGAGAAUGGCGUCUCCCUUCCCUCUGGCAAGAGAUAAAAUAGCCGGUGUUGGUCCCACGUGGAGACAGGCCACAGAGUCUUGGGAAAGUGUUAGCCAUGUAAUGUUUCUUUGGUCAAGUAUAGUCUACUGUGAAUGUGUUGUGGGCAAUAUUAUUGCCGUAGAAAAGUGAUGGAUGAAGGCUGUGACGCUAUUUAGGGAUAUAACGGUGCCCAGAAUCAAUGGUACUCUUGAGGAGUUAUAAAAGUAAUUAUUUUCUUGUGUAUUCGUAGUGUUAAGUAACGGAGUAUAAGUGUAUAUGCCAUACCAGAAUUUCAAGUGCCUUAUUUUUUUUUUUUUUUUCUAGAUUAACCACUCGAUAGUGUCAUAGUGGGUCAGUCAACCCAAAGAAUCCCAUCAGUAUUAUUCAUUUAAUUAUUUUUGCUAUUUUUAUAUUUUUCGUUCCUCCUAAUAAAGCCACACUGUAG